rnacentral:rRNA from 1 species
UACGGGAGGCAGCAGUGGGGAAUAUUGCACAAUGGGCGCAAGCCUGGAUGCAGCCAUGCCGCGUGUAUGAAGAAGGCCUUCGGGUUGUAAAGUACUUUCAGCAGUGAGGAAGGCGGGUACGUUAAUAGCGUGCUCGUUUGACGUUAGCUGCAGAAGAAGCACCGGCUAACUCCGUGCCAGCAGCCGCGGUAAUACGGAGGGUGCGAGCGUUAAUCGGAAUUACUGGGCGUAAAGCGCAUGCAGGUGGUUGUUAAGUCAGAUGUGAAAGCCCGGGGCUCAACCUCGGAAUUGCAUUUGAAACUGGCAGACUAGAGUACUGUAGAGGGGGUAGAAUUUCAGGUGUAGCGGUGAAAAUGCGUAGAGAUCUGAAGGAAUACCGGUGGCGAAGGCGGCCCCCUGGACAGAUACUGACACUCAGAUGCGAAAGCGUGGGGAGCAAACAGGAUUAGAUACCCUGGUAG